AGAGUUUGAUCAUGGCUCAGAUUGAACGCUGGCGGCAGGCCUAACACAUGCAAGUCGAGCGCGAAAGAUCUUCGGAUUGAGUAGAGCGGCGGACGGGUGAGUAACGCGUAGGAAUCUACCCAGUAGUGGGGGACAACUCGGGGAAACUCGAGCUAAUACCGCAUACGCCCUAAGGGGGAAAGCGGGGGAUCUUCGGACCUCGCGCUAUUGGAAGAGCCUGCGUUGGAUUAGCUAGUUGGUGGGGUAAAGGCCUACCAAGGCGACGAUCCAUAGCUGGUCUGAGAGGAUGAUCAGCCACACCGGGACUGAGACACGGCCCGGACUCCUACGGGAGGCAGCAGUGGGGAAUAUUGCGCAAUGGGCGAAAGCCUGACGCAGCCAUGCCGCGUGUGUGAAGAAGGCCUUCGGGCUGUAAAGCACUUUCACUUGGGAAGAAAGGUUCGUAGCUAAUACCUGCGAGCUGUGACAUUACCUUGAGAAGAAGCACCGGCUAACUCCGUGCCAGCAGCCGCGGUAAUACGGAGGGUGCGAGCGUUAAUCGGAAUUACUGGGCGUAAAGCGCGCGUAGGCGGUUUGUUAAGUCGGAUGUGAAAGCCCCGGGCUCAACCUGGGAAUUGCACCCGAUACUGGCCGACUGGAGUGCGAGAGAGGGAGGUAGAAUUCCACGUGUAGCGGUGAAAUGCGUAGAUAUGUGGAGGAAUACCGGUGGCGAAGGCGGCCUCCUGGCUCGACACUGACGCUGAGGUGCGAAAGCGU
rnacentral:rRNA from 1 species